rnacentral:rRNA from 1 species
UACGUAGGGGGCAAGCGUUGUCCGGAUUUACUGGGCGUAAAGAGCGUGUAGGCGGCCAAGCAGGUCCGUUGUGAAAACUGGAGGCUUAACCUCCAGACGUCGACGGAAACCGCGUGGCUAGAGUCCGGAAGAGGAGAGUGGAAUUCCUGGUGUAGCGGUGAAAUGCGCAGAUAUCAGGAAGAACACCAACGGCGAAGGCAGCUCGCUAGGACGGUACUGACGCUGAGACGCGAAAGCGUGGGGAGCGAACAGG